rnacentral:tRNA from 1 species
GGGUUCAGUUGUAGAAUUCUUGCCUUCUGUGCAGGGGGCCCGGGUUCAAUUCCUGGCCA